UACAGAGGGUGCAAACGUUGUUCGGAAUUACUGGGCGUAAAGCGCGUGUAGGCGGCUAUGUAAGUCGGGCGUGAAAUCCCACGGCUCAACCGUGGAAGUGCACCCGAAACUGCGUAGCUAGAGUCCUGGAGAGGAAGGUGGAAUGCUUGGUGUAGAGGUGAAAUUCGUAGAUAUCGAGAGGAACACCGGUGGCGAAGGCGGCCAACUGGACGAAUACUGACGCUGAGACACGAAAGCGUGGGGAGCAAACAGG
rnacentral:rRNA from 1 species